rnacentral:rRNA from 1 species
UACGUAGGCAGCAAGCGUUGUUCGGAGUUACUGGGCGUAAAGGGUGCGUAGGCGGCUUUUUAAGUUUGGUGUGAAAUCUCCCGGCUCAACUGGGAGGGUGCGCCGAAUACUGAAUGACUAGAGUGCGGGAGAGGAAAGUGGAAUUCCUGGUGUAGCGGUGAAAUGCGUAGAUAUCAGGAGGAACACCGGUGGUGUAGACGGCUUUCUGGACCGUAACUGACGCUGAGACACGAAAGCGUGGGUAGCAAACAGG